AUGCGCCUCGCCUGCGCCUUGCGUCUUUGACAACAUAGGUACUAUGUUACUAACCUACCUUAUGUUUGGAUAUAUGCGAGUAUAUGGGGAUCCAACCUUACGGAAUAGACACACACUUGCGAUACAUGCUGCACAAAAUAUUACAAUGGUGUCUUUUUUGUAUUCAUUAAAAUAGUUGCUAAAAUGUUGGUACAUCAAUACUUAAUAGGUGAAUUUUUGCCUUCAUCAUAAAGCAAUCUUAUUUUGCCCUAUGUAACUGAAAUUUUAAGUAUGUUCUUUUUUUUUUAAUAUACUUUCAUAAUGCAUUGUUAGGGAGAGACAGAGUCCGAAUUUUUAAAUAUUGAGUUAUUUUAUGAUGCUGACUUAAAAAGCCUGAGACGCAGUAUGUAUGUGCAUACAUACUACAUCUUAAUCUCAUCCGAAUUUUAGGAAACUUCGGCAAAUAGCGGCUGAACCAGAAGCACACGGUUGGCCCUUUAUCUGCUCACUUAGUCAUUGCUCCGUAAUUUGGUUAUUACACAUGCUAAGAAGGAACUUGGUCUUGCAUUCAAGGGUAGUCAAAAGAUGGUGACUGAAGCACCAGAGGGAUCAGGAUAAGAAAGUGUGAUGUUUGGACUUGACAUCUCUACUCGCACUUCCUGUCGAUUAGUUGCCAAGGGGGCCUUGGAGCGUGUUUUCAAAGCAACACAUGAGUAGCUUGUCGCCUACAAGGAUCAAGUAGGAUGUGUUAUUUUUGUAUUUUGUUCGUCCAAUGAGUCUUUUUUAGCUUUUUGUGCCCUCAUUUGGCAGUUAAUUAUAUGAAUAAAUCAAGUAUUUGACACUUGUUCAUUGGAACUUGAAUUAUCUAUGAAUUUUGAUGUAUGGUGAAUUUAAAACAGUUUUUUGUGUGAUUUUUCCUGCAACUUUUAGCAA
rnacentral:lncRNA from 1 species